rnacentral:lncRNA from 1 species
AUAGACAGAGUAUAUGAUCAUGCAAAUACAGUUUUCAUAUUUGCUUUUCCUUAAUUUUUCUAUACUUUUUGCCAAUUGACUUAACAAUGUUGCCAUCAUGAGGAAAUUUCAAGCACUCUUGCACAUUUAGUUCAGUGUUCCUUUGUGAAUAAAUGGCUUAACUUUUUUUUUACUAUUUUUUCACUACUUUUAAUUUUCUCAUCUCAUUUUAUCUCUGUAUCAGUGACCUACCUUAAAUAGUCCACUCACCCAAAUAGUUUAAAACAUUUCAUUUCAUGAUCAAUCUCCAAGGAUCUAAGAUCAUUUUGAGUCAAACAAACCCUAAUGUAUAUAGAGCUUCUCUAUCUGCCUCCAUACUGGUGCAGGUAGGUCAUUGACAGCACCCACCCCUGAUCAUAUGCAUACACCCUCACUAGCCCUUGAAGACAUUGGAAGUCCUAUCUGAGACCUCUCUCGACUCUCUGCAUGUCUUUUGGUUGUCAAGUGUUUCUGCAUGACAGUGUCCCACAAUAACAAAUAAUGAUUUCAGUUAGUCCACCUGUAUUUAAAAUGUGCAAGAAAAAUU